rnacentral:rRNA from 1 species
UGCCAGCCUCCGCGGUACUACUGAUUGGGCUAGCGUUGUUCGGAAUUACUGGGCGUAAAGAGCAUGUAGGCGGACUAUUAAGUCUGGCGUGAAAGCCCGGGGCUCAACCCCGGAAGUGCGUUGGAUACUGGUAGUCUUGAGUAUGGGAGAGGAGAGUGGAAUUCCGAGUGUAGGAGUGAAAUCCGUAGAUAUUCGGAGGAACACCAGUGGCGAAGGCGGCUUUCUGGACCAAUACUGACGCUGAGAUGCGAAAGCGUGGGGAGCGAACAGGAUUAGAUA